rnacentral:rRNA from 1 species
GUAGGUGGCAAGCGUUGUCCGGAAUUAUUGGGCGUAAAGCGCGCGCGGGCGGUCCUUUAAGUCUGAUGUGAAAGCCCACGGCUCAACCGUGGAGGGUCAUUGGGAACUGGGGGACUUGAGUACAGAAGAGGAAAGCGGAAUUCCAAGUGUAGCGGUGAAAUGCGUAGAGAUUUGGAGGAACACCAGUGGCGAAGGCGGCUUUCUGGUCUGUAACUGACGCUGAGGCGCGAAAGCGUGGGGAGCAAACAGGAUUAGAUACCCUGGUAGUCCACGCCGUAAACGAUGAGUGCUAAGUGUUAGGGGGUUUCCCGCCCCCUUAGUGCUGCAGCUAACGCAUUAAGCACUCCGCCUGGGGAGUACGGCCGCAAGGCUG